CUGUGAAUAUACAAAGGUAGAAAGAGUAGAAUUAGAACCGCCAAACACUAGUUCGGUCUGUUUCGAGUCGAGAUCGGCUGGUUUCGCUUUGCAACUCCUUAAUACGUGUCUAUUCAAAUGCGUUGUGCUCGAGCCAGGCUUCCAACUAAGUUCUUUGCCACAGUAAUUGCAACAUGCUUUCCAAAUAUCUACUCCAUUUUGAACACCAAUUUUUUUUCGUGUCAUAUGUUGCCAACAGUCCGAUGAUUCUUUUUUUGACAUUUUU
rnacentral:lncRNA from 1 species